GUAGGGCAAAGAAAAUAAAUCCAUCAAAGCUGACUGAAUAACAGAGAGAAUUGCCAGCUGAAAGCAUUUCUGACUCUUGAUGCCUUCAAAAGCCAGGAAACUUAAUCCUGGCCUUAUGUUUCUUUCUUCGUGCCCAAAAGGCAGCCAAGCUCGUCACUAAACCAAGGGAGGUGAAGCAGUUCAAAAUCAGUUUGCCCUGGCAUGGAUUUGAGAGUUGGACCAUUGGAAGGUUGAAUGCUGAAGAACUGAUACUUUCAAACUGUGGUGCUAGAGAAGACUCUUGAGAGUCCGUUGGACAGCAAGGAGAUCAAACCAGUCAAUCUGAAAGGAAAUCAACCCUGAAUAUCCAUUGGAAGGACUGAUGUUGAAGCUGAAGCUCCAAUACUUUGGCCACCUGAUACAAAGAGCGGACUUAUUGGGAAAGACCCGGAUGCUGGGAAAGAUUGAAGGCAAAAGGAGAAGUGGGUGGCAGAGGAUGAGAUGGUUGGAUGGCAUCACCGACUCCACGGACAUAAGUUUGAGCAGACUCUGAGACAUGGUGAAGAGGGGGAAGCCUGGUGUGCUGCAGUCCAUGGGGUCUCAAAGAGUCAGACACAACUGAGCAACUGAACAAUAGAACAUUUUGGACUGGCGAUCAGCAGAUAUAAGUUCUGAUCUGGGCUUGGAAUCUUCUGGCUUUGCAGCUUCUAGGGAGCAACUGCCCUCAGCUUUGAUUUCCCCACACCAAAGCUUCUGUGAGUCCAAGGUCAAGGGACUGUGAUCUGGAGGCACCAUGAAGAGGUGAUGCUCAUCUUUGUGCAAGAAAGAAGACUUCUGUGCACUUGAAACUAGCUGCUCUGUUUGCCCCUCCCCUCCUUGAGAAAACUCAUGCUAUUUUUCAAAGAUUCUGAAAGCAUUUCAGGUCGUUUAUGGCAACAUUUGCCUAACAACAGCGGUCAUUCUCAGCUUAGAUUUUUCUUAAACCAGUUGCAGUAGGAGAGUAUAUUUUGAUUGGCAGGGAUAGAAGGGAGAAAUUAUAUGCAUUUACUUGUACUCAGUCGUGUCUGAGACUCUUUGCAACCCCCUGGACUAUAGCCCGCCAGACCCCUCUGUCCAUGGAAUUCUCCAGGCAAGAAUAUUGGAGUGGGUCACAAUUUCCUUCUCCACAUUUACUCAAGAAGCAUAUCCUAAAUAACAGCUUCAGAAAAAGCUCUCCCUUCUAGCCGCUGCUGCUGCUAAGUCACUUCAGUCGUGUCCGACUCUGUGCGACCCCAUAGACGGCAGCCCACCAGGUUCCGCCAUCCCUGGGAUUCUCCAAGCAAGAACACUGGAGUGGGUUGCCAUUUCCUUCUCCAGCGCAUGAAAGUGAAAAGUGAAAGUGAAGUCGCUCAGUCAUGUCCGACUCUUAGCGACCCCAUGGACUGAAGCCUACCAGGCUCCUCUGUCCAUGGGAUUUUCCAGGCAAGAGUACUGGAGUGGGUUGCCAUUGCCUUUUCCACCCUUCUAACUACUGCAUCGAUUCUUGCAAAUCCUGGAACAGCAUCACGCUUCCUUUCUUAGAUGCUGGCUCACAAGAAGCAGCCUACUUUACUUGUUUUAAUUCUUUCUGCUGGUAUGAUAUGGCUAAAGUGGGGGUGACCCGUGGCAGAGGGAUUUUGACAACCCUGACUUUAACGAUAUGAAAACUG
ensembl:lncRNA